AGUCACUGGGAAUAAAAUGAUAAACCUACUGGCGCAGUGAAAGCGGGGCCUUCGGGCUCUGGGAGGAUGGCGUGCUUGGCUUACGCCGGCCGCCCGCACUCCCGGGGCGCGUAGUACUCUCGUAUUACGCGCACCCCGAGCGUACACGUUGGGACCCGAAAGAUGGUGAACUAUGCCUGGUCAGGACGAAGUCAGGGGAAACCCUGAUGGAGGUCCGCAGCGAUUCUGACGUGCAAAUCGAUCGUCAGAGCUGGGUAUAGGGGCGAAAGACUAAUCGAACCAUCUAGUAGCUGGUUCCCUCCGAAGUUUCCCUCAGGAUAGCUGGCGUCCAUUUGGACAAAUACGAGUCUCAUCCGGUAAAGCGAAUGAUUAGAGGCCUUGGGGCCGAAACGACCUCAACCUAUUCUCAAACUUUAAAUGGGUGAGAACUCCGGCUUGCUUGAUUGAAGCCGCGAGUUGUUUGGAUUUGGAUCAGGGUGCCAAGUGGGCCAUUUUUGGUAAGCAGAACUGGCGCUGUGGGAUGAA
rnacentral:rRNA from 1 species